UAGGGAAUCUCUCCGCAAUGGGCGAAAGCCUGACGGAGCAACGCCGCGUGAGUGAAGAAGGUCUUCGGAUCGUAAAACUCUGUUAUUAGGGAAGAGCAAAUGUGUAAGUAACUAUGCACGUCUUGACGGUACCUAAUCAGAAAGCCACGGCUAACUACGUGCCAGCAGCCGCGGUAAUACGUAGGUGGCAAGCGUUAUCCGGAAUUAUUGGGCGUAAAGCGCGCGUAGGCGGUUUUUUAAGUCUGAUGUGAAAGCCCACGGCUCAACCGUGGAGGGUCAUUGGAAACUGGAAAACUUGAGUGCAGAAGAGGAAAGUGGAAUUCCAUGUGUAGCGGUGAAAUGCGCAGAGAUAUGGAGGAACACCAGUGGCGAAGGCGACUUUCUGGUCUGUAACUGACGCUGAUGUGCGAAAGCGUGGGGAUCAAACAGGAUUAGAUACCCUGGUAGUCCACGCCGUAAACGAUGAGUGCUAAGUGUUAGGGGGUUUCCGCCCCUUAGUGCUGCAGCUAACGCAUUAAGCACUCCGCCUGGGGAGUACGACCGCAAGGUUUG
rnacentral:rRNA from 1 species